AAGUCGUAACAAGGUUUCCGUAGGUGAACCUGCGGAAGGAUCAUUAACACGUAUCCAAACGUUAAACCCCCCUGUGAACCUUCAGUCGUACUCGUACGUCCGUUAGAAAAAGCAGCAAUCCCUGGUAAAUCAUCGCCGAACAGUUUUCGAUUCAUCUAUCUAUGGUGAUCCUGCGGGAAGUCCUGCGGUCGAACGCCGAAACCGAACAACUGUUAACAAUGGAUAUCUUGGUUCUC
rnacentral:misc_RNA from 1 species